GAUGAACGCUGGCGGCGUGCCUAAUACAUGCAAGUCGAGCGAACAGACGAGGAGCUUGCUCCUCUGACGUUAGCGGCGGACGGGUGAGUAACACGUGGAUAACCUACCUAUAAGACUGGGAUAACUUCGGGAAACCGGAGCUAAUACCGGAUAAUAUAUUGAACCGCAUGGUUCAAUAGUGAAAGACGGUUUUGCUGUCACUUAUAGAUGGAUCCGCGCCGCAUUAGCUAGUUGGUAAGGUAACGGCUUACCAAGGCAACGAUGCGUAGCCGACCUGAGAGGGUGAUCGGCCACACUGGAACUGAGACACGGUCCAGACUCCUACGGGAGGCAGCAGUAGGGAAUCGGCCGCAAUGGGCGGAAGCCUGACGGAGCAACGCCGCGUGAGUGAUGAAGGUCUUCGGAUCGUAAAACUCUGUUAUUAGGGAAGAACAAAUGUGUAAGUAACUAUGCACGUCUUGACGGUACCUAAUCAGAAAGCCACGGCUAACUACGUG
rnacentral:rRNA from 1 species